CAGUCUUUAAUAGUAUAAACAUAGAGUUCUUCAAAAGUACAGAAAGAUGGUACCAUUCCAUCCAUAAAAAGGGUGCCUGUUUUCUACUGUUGAGCAGCAACUGAUUCACCGCUAACAGCAAAAGAUCUACGAUUUAUUUGUUGUAUUUUUCUUCGUAAAAGAAGACAGAGCAAAGGAAAGGAGAUGUAAACAAGAUUCAAAGAAAACUGUUUUUGUAAUUAACAGAGAACUACAAAUCCCCAAUCAAAGGCACAAUUCAAGUAAGCAAGCAUUGAUUCUUUGCAUAAGGUUAAUUGACAAUCAUGGAAAAACCACGUCUCCAGAUGAUAGACGAAAACAGAUCAAAACAGGAUAGGACUUUGAACCUCUGAAUGUUCAAUGUUACCCAAUACAUUCCCAAUCCCAGCCUUAGUCCCUUGUGUUUCAAUAUAAACAUAAGCAAAAGGAAUUUCAAAAGCUUAAAUCAAUUUUCGCAUCUAGACUAGAUAUUUCUCUUGUCAACUUUAGGAAGAAUUUCAUGACACUGACCAAGAUAGAAAUUUAAAGAGUUCCAACUCUGCAUGCAUGAAUCAUGGUGUUCAAACAUCAACAUAAUAGGAAAAUUUUCCACCUAUAAAACCCUAUUGUAAAUGCUUACGAAUCCAAGUAAAAUACAAGCAUAGAAACAGAGUUGAUGCUGCUAAUAAAACUAGUAUGCCUUUGACCGGACUAGUAAGCUAGAUUUAGUCCGGUACAUGAAAAAUGGCCUAAGAUACCCUAUUGUAACAGAGAACUGGUGCGCUCACCAGAAAAUGUAUGCAAAGGAAAAAAGAAUAUUGCAAUAAGAAGUUUUACUACCACUGAAUGUGAAUGCACACCAGGUAAAAUAGUACAAAGGAUGGUAGUAAAGAAUUAAACUUGGCCAGCCAGAGUCUAAUCAACAUAUAUGAACAUGUACCCUAAUCAAUUGUACAUAACAACAAGCUUUAUAUAAGUGUAGAAACAAUGCAAUGCGCUGAGAGAAAAAUUAGUACUUCUUUUGGCAAAAAUAUGUCACAGAAGAUUUCCUUGUAUCAGAGAGAAUUCCAGUAAUUUAGCAACCUAUGAAUCUAGGAUAUUAGCUUUUGGCUGUUGGCUGGAGCAGUGAAGAAUUCUCAGGAGUUAUUACGAACAAGCGAAUUGACACCCUCUUCUUUAACGCUAACAUUACCAGGAUUAUUGGUCAAGCUCUGCUUCUUCUCUGCAUUACUUCCAUUAUCAAGACCCUUUUCCAGAUGACCUGAAUUGUUGUUGGCAUUUCCAUUGCUCUUUGCAAAUCCAGCCGAAGCAAUGCGCUCCACAUUCUUGGGUGACCCGAUGAUGGUUACAUCGACACUCCCUCUUUCCCGUUUCCCCAAAUUCCCAGAUCCAGAAACCUCCACGGAUUCUACGUCCUUCCUCUUCGCCACCAACGCCACGUGCUCCAACGCCUCUCUAGCUCUCUUUCUACAAAGAGCCGCCUCCCUUACCCGCCUUUCGGCCUCCGUCCUCGCCACGAUCACCGCCUUGGCCAUGGAGGAAGCCGCAAUCUUCGCUGCGCAAAGAAGAACCGUGGCCAUUUUCUUAUCAAUGGUUCGAUUAUCAGUUUUAUCGAGGUGGAAGAAAGAGAAAUUGGGGUCAGCGCAAGGCGGGCAGAGGAAGGGGAAAGGUGAAGGAGGGUGAGAGGGGGCGCAGUGUGAGUGGGUGAAGGAGGAGCAAUUGGAGCAGGAGAGGCGCUUGCAGGGAGGAGGAGGGGAAGAGUCAUAAAGUGUGAAGCAGGAAGGGCAGAAAGAGGAAGGAUGGAGGCGAAGGACGCAGGAGGUACAGAGACGGCGAUAGAUGCCUCGGAGGCGGACGUGGUGGAGGGGCCAGCUGUCUUUGGUGUCGCAGUUGCCGCAUUGUCCAGCGGAUGGAUUGGCGUCGCUGUUGAUGGUAGCGGUUGUAUUGGGUUUUGAUGCUAUUGGGAUAUUCAUUUUGGGAAAUUCUAAAGAAGAUAACGAUACACUUAAGAAGAGAUACUUUAUUUUUUAGGGUUUUACUCGUUGGUUAUGGUGGUGCCGGUGCUCGUGCCGGUGCUGUUUAGAGCUGAUGACCGUUUCGGGGAAGGGCGAGGGGUUUAUGAGAUAAUUUUCACUUUCCAACGCCCACAUAAAUUUGAGAAAGCGAACGAAA
rnacentral:misc_RNA from 1 species